CAUGACAGGGAUGGGAAAUUUAAACAGGUGCUUGUCUUCAGCCUGGAUGGGCCCACAGGCAGUGGAAACUGGAACUGUGUCCAGUUAAGCUUCUGCCACUAUAUUAGAUCAUAUCUGGCUGCCUUCUGGACUGUACCAACACUUUUCCUCUCACUUCUCCCUCGUAGUUUUCAGGGCAAUCACCUUUCAUCCAGUUGGGAAUUCUGUCCUCCCCACUUUUAUCUGGCCAAUUUCACUGUCACUGUCACUUCUUUACGAUGCCUCUGAAUACCAGUUGAAGGGGAGCAAGGAUGGGAGAGGAGUACGCCUUUAUUUCCUGCUUGUGGGGCUUCCCAGGGGCACCUGGUGGGCCAUUGUGAGAAACAGGAUACUAUAUUAGACAGACUUUGGGUCUGAUCCAGCAAGAAUCUUCUUAUGUUCUUAAAAAAGUACAUCUGAAAACGGAGGUUGAUAGCUUAAAGCAUUUAGUACCCAUUUAGGAUUGGGCAUUGGAACACACGUUAAAUCCUUAGUAACAAGCUGGGAAGUGCUGCAGUGUUUUUUCAAGAGAACUGUAAAGCUCAGGCCAUAAUAAAUAUUGUAGAAAUUGAGUGCUACAUCAAAACUGAACUCUUGACAAGACCUUUGUGUCUGGCCAGCCCGGACAUGCCACUCACUGGCUCCGAUGGAGCGACUACCGAGGUGAGGAACAGUUCCUUCAGAGUGGCAGGCUUCUCCCCUGUAGCCACCCCAUCGAGACCCAGAGGCGCAUGCAGCCAGGGUGGCAGGACUGGCCACUGGGACUACGCCAUGGGCGUUUAUUGAUAAGUGCCAUCUGACAACGGGACAGGGAAAGCAGGAACAGGUGGGGGAAGGUUGGGAUAGGAGAAGGAGAGACAUGCUAUAGGGCAAUACGUGGUGUGUGUGGGGGGGGUGUUAAUAAAGGCACUGGGGUGGCCAAGAAGGGCAGACCCUGGAUGUCCGGCCUGUAACUCAGCCUUUAAAGAAAGCCAGGCCGGUGGUGAGGAAACAGGGGUGUGAACAGCAGGGAUGUGGUCCUCUAGUGAGAGGCCAGCCCUAUGACUGACAAUCCCAGAAGGAGUAACUGGAUGAAGAAAAACCCCUCCCCUGACUCUGGGGCCUAGCCUACAAGGCUGAUGACUCUGGGUAGGCUGGCAGGUGGACACCCAAGCUGACAGAUACUUAAAUUAAUCAAAAGACAUUCUGUUAUCUGGACACAGCUCCAGUUUCCACUGCCUGUGGGCCCAUCCAGAGUGAAGACAAGCCCCUGUUUAUAUUUCCCAUCCCUGACAUGUAAGCCUCUGUGACAAACUGCUAGAUAACUCAGAUCUAAGGCCUUAUAGCAGAUCUAUCAUCCAAACUGGCCCAUUUUAUUUGAGUGGAAUCAGGGCCAGAUAGAAGAAAAUGGAAAAUGACUGGGAAGAGCUGAACUGCUGAGGCAAAGCAGAAUCGGACGCAGGCCAGACACUAGGGAAAAGGCAGGUGGAAGUUAGGAAGAUACAGUUAGCACCUCUCUGAAGUCUGUUACUCCAAACAACUGCUUCACAUAAAUGCACACAGGAGACCUGGGGCCACGCUUUGUCCCAGCAGUGCAGUGGAAAAUAAUUUGGAGGCUCGUUCUGCAACGAAGGUGGUCUGUGCAGUGCGUGGUACACCUGCAACUAUAGAGAAGCCGC